rnacentral:rRNA from 1 species
UCUGGGCGUAAGCGUGCGCAGGCGGUUAUGUAAGACAGAUGUGAAAUCCCCGGGCUCAACCUGGGAACUGCAUUUGUGACUGCAUGGCUAGAGUGCGGCAGAGGGGGAUGGAAUUCCGCGUGUAGCAGUGAAAUGCGUAGAUAUGCGGAGGAACACCGAUGGCGAAGGCAGCCCCCUGGACUGGUACUGACGCUCAUGCACGAAAGCGUGGGGAGCAAACAGGAUUAGAUACCCUGGUAGUCCACGCCCUAAACGAUGUCAACUGGUUGUUGGGGAUUAUUUUUCUCAGUAACGAAGCUAACGCGUGAAGUUGACCGCCUGGGGAGUACGGCCGCAAGGUUG